rnacentral:rRNA from 1 species
UACGGAGGAUGCGAGCGUUAUCCGGAUUUAUUGGGUUUAAAGGGUGCGUAGGCGGGCUUUUAAGUCAGCGGUAAAAAUUCGGGGCUCAACCCCGUCCGGCCGUUGAAACUGGCGAUCUUGAGUGGAAGAGAAGUAUGCGGAAUGCGUGGUGUAGCGGUGAAAUGCAUAGAUAUCACGCAGAACCCCAAUUGCGAGGGCAGCAUGCCGGCUUCCUACUGACGCUGAAGCACGAAAGCGUGGGGAUCGAACAGG